rnacentral:rRNA from 1 species
CCAGACUCCUACGGGAGGCAGCAGUGAGGAAUAUUGGUCAAUGGGCGGGAGCCUGAACCAGCCAAGUCGCGUGAGGGAAGACGGUCCUAUGGAUUGUAAACCUCUUUUGUCGGGGAGCAAAGAGGCCUCGUGAGGUCAAAAGCGAGAGUACCCGAAGAAAAAGCAUCGGCUAACUCCGUGCCAGCAGCCGCGGUAAUACGGAGGAUGCGAGCGUUAUCCGGAUUUAUUGGGUUUAAAGGGUGCGUAGGCGGGACGGUAAGUCAGCGGUAAAAAUGCGGAGCUCAACUCCGUCGAGCCGUUGAAACUGCCGUUCUUGAGUGAGCGAGAAGUAUGCGGAAUGCGUGGUGUAGCGGUGAAAUGCAUAGAUAUCACGCAGAACUCCGAUUGCGAAGGCAGCAUACCGGCGCUCAACUGACGCUGAAGCACGAAGGCGUGGGUAUCGAACAGGAUUAGAUACCCGAGUA